ACCAGCUGGAUGAGGGGACUGAGGCUUCAGUGUGUUAGUAGAACAGGUUAGUGAACUCAGCCCCAGGACCAGCUGGAUGAGGGGACUGAGGCUUCAGUGUGUUAGUAGAACAGGUUUGUGAACUCAGCCCCAGGACCAGCUGGAUGAGGGGACUGAGGCUUCAGUGUGUUAGUAGUACAGGUUUGUGAACUCUGCCCCAGGACCAGCUGGAUGAGGGGACUGAGGCUUCAGUGUGUUAGUAGAACAGGUUUGUGAACUCAGCCCCAGGACCAGCUGGAUGAGGGGACUGAGGCUUCAGUGUGUUAGUAGAACAGGUUUGUGAACUCAGCCCCAGGACCAGCUGGAUGAGGGGACUGAGGCUUCAGUGUGUUAGUAGAACAGGUUUGUGAACUCAGCCCCAGGACCAGCUGGAUGAGGGGACUGAGGCUUCAGUGUGUUAGUAGAACAGGUUUGUGAACUCAGCCCCAGGACCAGCUGGAUGAGGGGACUGAGGCUUCAGUGUGUUAGUAGAACAUGUUUGUGAACUCAGCCCCAGGACCAGCUGGAUGAGGGGACUGAGGCUUCAGUGUGUUAGUAGAACAGGUUUGUGAACUCAGCCCCAGGACCAGCUGGAUGAGGGGACUGAGGCUUCAGUGUGUUAGUAGAACAGGUUAGUGAACUCAGCCCCAGGACCAGCUGGAUGAGGGGACUGAGGCUUCAGUGUGUUAGUAGAACAUGUUUGUGAACUCAG